UGCUUCUUACUUCUCCUCCUCUCUCUCUUUCAUUCUUUCACCAUAAGCAACAAGAAAAGAAAAGCUUUCUCUUCUAUCAACAAUGGUUAGGACUUGGUUUUGAGGCUAUCUCUCUCUCUCUCUCUUCUUGAAUUUGUUUGCUUUUUAGUUUUCUGGGUGACAGAAGGAAACAGAAACAAACAAAAAACCUCUAACAGACUCUCUCUCAAGCAAAAGCAUUUACUGUGAGGAUAACAACAAUGGGAUCUUUUAAUUCUUUUUUUUCUGAAAAUGUAUUUGGAAAUUCAAAAUCCUAAUGAAUAAACUGACUUUGACUGUAGCUCUAUAUAGCAACUAGGCAUCUGUAUGGCACAUGACUCUUAUGGCCACACUCUUUAUUCAGGCGCGUGCACCAACAUGUCACUCUUCUUUCUUCUCAACCAGAAAUCUUGGUGAACAGAUUCCUCCUUUUCAAGCUGAUGCUACUUCUUACUAGUCUCUCUACUGUUUCUAUAGACUGAUUGAUCUCUUCGGAAUUUGAUCUGAGACGGAAGAAUCUGUAGAGACAGUGGAGGCCACGCGCCGGAGAGUGAGAAAAGAUUUGGGCCUGUCUGGUCAGAGACUUGCCCACUGGCUUCCACUUUGAGAACUAUUUUGACGAGAGAGAGAGGCUGAUCAGAAGAAAUCUAUAAAAUAUCUCGCAAGGACCCAUUGAUGGGAUGAUAUAACCUCUCAAAGCCUUUGAGAUUUUUUCCUAUUAGGAUUCAACUUUAAAUGUACCAUGUAAUGUGUGACACUGUUUGUAUAAGACUUUUGAUUAUGACAAACAUAAUUUGACUUUCUAAA